GCUUACACAUGCAAGUCGAGGGGUAACAGAGAAAAGCUUGCUUUUUUGCUGACGACCGGCGCACGGGUGCGUAACGCGUAUGCAAUCUACCUUUUGCUAAGGGAUAGCCCAGAGAAAUUUGGAUUAAUACCUUAUAGUAUGAUGACUUGGCAUCAAGAUAUCAUUAAAGGUUACGGCAAAAGAUGAGCAUGCGUUCUAUUAGCUAGUUGGUAUGGUAACGGCAUACCAAGGCAACGAUAGAUAGGGGUCCUGAGAGGGAGAUCCCCCACACUGGUACUGAGACACGGACCAGACUCCUACGGGAGGCAGCAGUGAGGAAUAUUGGACAAUGGAGGCAACUCUGAUCCAGCCAUGCCGCGUGCAGGAAGACUGCCCUAUGGGUUGUAAACUGCUUUUAUACAGGAAGAAACACCUCUACGUGUAGAGAUUUGACGGUACUGUAAGAAUAAGGAUCGGCUAACUCCGUGCCAGCAGCCGCGGU
rnacentral:rRNA from 1 species